rnacentral:rRNA from 1 species
UGAGGAAUAUUGGUCAAUGGGCGAGAGCCUGAACCAGCCAAGCCGCGUGAAGGAAGACGGCCCUAUGGGUUGUAAACUUCUUUUGUCGGGGAACAAAAGCCGAUUUGCGAAUUGGUCUGAGUGUACCCGAAGAAAAAGCAUCGGCUAACUCCGUGCCAGCAGCCGCGGUAAUACGGAGGAUGCGAGCGUUAUCCGGAUUUAUUGGGUUUAAGGUGUGUAGGCGGUCUGUUAAGUCAGCGGUAAAACGCCCGGGGGCGUCAAACCCCCGGCCGAGCCGUUCGUAAAGCAAUGGCGGGACUAGAGACGGUGAGAGGUAUGCGGAAUGCGCAGUGUAGCGGUGAAAUGCAUAGAUAUUGCGCAGAACUCCGAUUGCGAAGGCAGCAUACCGGUGCCGGACUGACGCUGAGGCACGAAAGCGUGGGGAUCAAACAGGAUUAGAUACC